UACGGAGGGUGCAAGCGUUAUCCGGAUUUACUGGGUUUAAAGGGUGCGCAGGCGGAUAUGUAAGUCAGUGGUGAAAUCUCUAGGCUUAACCUGGAAAUUGCCGUUGAUACUAUAUAUCUUGAAUGCUGUGGAGGUAAGCGGAAUAUGUCAUGUAGCGGUGAAAUGCUUAGAUAUGACAUAGAACACCUAUUGCGGAGGCAGCUUACUACGCAGAUAUUGACGCUCAUGCACGAAAGCGUGGGGAUCAAACAGG
rnacentral:rRNA from 1 species